rnacentral:sRNA from 1 species
ACAUGAACAACGCAAAAAAAUAACAACAUUCUACAAAAAAAGCGUUCCUACAAAGGCUUUAAAAUGCCCAUGAGGUAUGGAAAUCGUCUAUUAGAAUGGAGAAUAAUGCUGUAUUGGCUUUUGUCGUCGGUCUUGGGUGCAGUGUCACCCUCCCCCUCCCCUUUUCUUUCUUCUUUUGAGUGAGAGAGAGGGGACGGUUUUAUGGGUGGGAUUGCAAUGAUUGGCGGGACAA